rnacentral:lncRNA from 1 species
UUUAAAGGCUAGCACAAGUGACAUAGAAUGAACAGUGUCAUUGUUAUGGUGACAGUACAAUACGUAGUAUGCAUAUUUCAUUAAAUAUUGGCUAUACCAGUUACAAUAAGACAUGGCGGUCAUGUAGAAGAAGGAAAAAUAAAGCGUAGAAACCUCGUAAUAAUCAACUGUUCAGAAACGAGCGUACUGCGUAUUUAAAAUGCAAUAAUGAGGUCACAUUUUAUGUCUAAAAUGUGCGAUUGUUACACCUGCGUGUACUAUACCUUGUUUUUUUUAAAAUUAACCUGUACUAGCCGCAAACGAGCAGCGAAAUUACGAGCAGCGCGAAAGGAUUGGUGCAGCUAUACGACCGAGAGAAAAACACUGCAGGUCGCGCGAGCGGUGAUAUCGGCAACUCCAAAGCAAACACUUAUGCCGAAGAGUUUGUCAUCACGAGUGGCUGAUACGCUCCUCGGAAACUGAACGUUUUCUGACACCCCGUGGUCCGUAACCCUUUGUGGCCGAGUGUACUUUCCCCUGUGCUCCCUAGUGCUUCAUUGUUUCUUCGCAUGGUUGGGACUGACAAAUCACCGAGCCCUUCGGAUAGUCUCAUUCUUCUCGCUCUGAGACCGGUAAGGUGUUGCUUGCUUGCUUGCUUAACAAGUUUAUCUAUCUCUUCGGAUGAAGAUCAUCUUUUGCAAUCGGAUGAGAAGGCAACGGGGGCUUUUUUAGAUUACGGUUUCUUUAGAGACCGCGAGCUAAGCCGCUCGUGCUUACAUACAGAACAUACACGCUCUCGAAGAGUCUUUCUUGGAUGGGCCGGUCCAUGUCAACGGUGUAGCCUACGCUUCAGGUAUAUUGUCGACCUGCAGUCUCGGGCUACAAAAAUGGCGGACGCCAAGUCCCGAGUAUGCGGCCAGCUAAACUGGACGUCUUACGUGAGCCUCCUGUGAAAGUGAAAGUGAAAGUGGACGUUUUUGCCGUUACAGGAGCGUGAAAUAGUUGCACAGCCUAGCGUAACGUUUCUCUUUGCUGCCCCAUUAGGUGCUGCCAGAAUCGGCGAUAGAGCCGGCCCGACGAAAACGGCGACAUAUCGGCUUACGUCUACACCAGAAACGAGGCGGAAUCGUCCGAGGAGGCCCAGCGUUCCCACCGGUCGAACUCAGUACACGCGUCACUCAAGCAACACGACAGGUGGUGAUAUCAACACGUCCAUGAUUUUCACCAUUCACGUAAGUGGAACCGUAUGCCUCGUACAUCUGUACUAAACUGUGUCGCGUACACAGCAAGAGAAUAUGUAUGUCGCGGAAUCGGCUGCUUCCUGGCUCGAAAUGCCGCUGAAUUCAUUAUUGGUGUCUGCUUCCAGCGGCACGUAGUUGCUCCCGUGCGCAGUCGGCUGUUGAAUUCCGAGACCCUUCGCGGGAAAACAGUUGACUGCGGGUCUGUUUAAUCAAGCCAUUUUCUCCCCCGGAUUCAUCAAGUAAGAGCCGCGCAUGGGUAUAAUAAAUACUAAAUACAGUAGGGUCCCGUUAAAACUAACUCGAAGGAACCGUGAAUAUCUGCUCGCCGUAUGAAAAGUUCAUCUUUAACAGAAAGGAUCUGAAUAACAGAACGCAUUAUUCCUGGUAAACCACACGAACCAACAAAUGAAACUGCACCAAAAGCAAAAGGCAGACGCAAAAUGAUAGUCAUUUGUUAAUUUUUCAUGAUGCAAGUGCUUUAAGAACACUUAGGCUAUUCAGUAACUGUUGCUUGCCGGCAUUUGACAAACCUGUGCGCUGUCACAAAAGCUGAAAUUUUACUUUAACGUAAUAGUUCUGCGGAAACCCGCAAGGUCUAGAGAAGUAAUUAAUAAAGGGAAAAUGAGACAUCCACCCAAACAUACCUAAGUGCUACAAAGGAAACCCAUACGGGUUCC